CCUACGGGUGGCUGCAGUCGGGAAUUUUGGGCAAUGGGCGAAAGCCUGACCCAGCAACGCCGCGUGAAGGAUGAAGUUUCUCGGAAUGUAAACUUCGUAAGAAUGGGAAGAAUAAAUGACGGUACCAUUUGUAAGGUCCGGCUAACUACGUGCCAGCAGCCGCGGUAAUACGUAGGGACCAAGCGUUGUUCGGAUUUACUGGGCGUAAAGGGAGCGUAGGCGGCAAUUCAAGUCAGUUGUGAAAUCUUCGAGCUUAACUCGGAACGGUCAACUGA
rnacentral:rRNA from 1 species